UACGUAGGAUGCAAGCGUUGUCCGGAUUUACUGGGCGUAAAGCGCGCGCAGGCGGCACUCUAAGUACGCUGUGAAAUAUCCCGGCCCAACCGGGAGGGUGCAGUGUAGACUAGGGAGCUAGAGGUCGGUAGAGGGGGGUGGAAUUGCUGGUGUAGCGGUGAAAUGCGUAGAGAUCAGCAGGAACACCCGUGGCGAAGGCGGCCCCCUGGGCCGUACCUGACGCUGAGGCGCGAAGGCUAGGGGAGCGAACGGG
rnacentral:rRNA from 1 species